ACAUUGAAAACUACGCUACCGUGUUUAUAAUUACGGUCACCCCAACUCAUAUCUCCAGCACCCUCUCCCUUGGAUUUAAUAAUGAAGAAUUAUAAAAAGUCAAGAAUAUGUUAAUAAAACAACCGAAAAACACUUCAAUUUUUGUAUGCAUUGCUGCAGAACAUACACUAGCCAACUGUCUCUUAUCAGAAUUUGAGCAAAGACAUUUGAGCUACAUUUCAGCUUGAACCUUGCAAGCACCAACAGCAUUUCCAAGUCACUACUAUGCAACAAUUAACAGCUAGCUCUUUCAUUAGCCUACAUCCCCAAAGAAAGCUAGAAAAGGCAGUAACAAAUGCUAGUCUUCAGAAACUUGCACUGCAACUGAUUACUGAGGAACGCUGUUUCAUCAUAAGUACAAAUACUGCGUGAAGGUUACAACACAAGUGACAGUAGGAAGCACACCCUUAUCCUAGUCUUUCACAAGCAGCAAAACUAAAGAGCCAUUCUGAACAUACCAUGUCAACAAUUCCCAAUUUAAACCUGCCACAAGAAGAGAGAACAGUGAAAUCAGGGCAAGACUAAAUGAAUGUUUCGAGUGCUCAACAGCAAGAACACCUCAAAUAAUAGUCCCCAGGUAAUGAAUUAAGUUUAUUAAGAGCUCUGUAUACAUUAGCUAUCCACUUCCUUUUCUAGCUUACGGUUUCCUCCAGUGAUGUUUCUACUGCCUUGUGCUGUAUUUUAAUUUUCUACUCAAUACUAGUUUGUUUUUGCGUCUGGAUGUAGUAUGAACUUUUCGAAUUAAUAUAUAUCGGGCCACCAUACUUUGUGGGCAGGCUGGAAACGAGGGUUCCAUUUUUUCCGAUCCGACCAUAUAUGCUUUUUUUUUUUAAGCUGUUAGUUUUGUGGCUUCACUAAAUUCCGAGAGAUAUGUGAUCAACAAAUACAACAGCGAAUUUUUUCGUUCUUGGUUUUUGCAAUGCACUGUUCCUUCUCGCCAUAGCAUUUUUAUUUAUUACGACAAUAAUUUACUCUCAACUUUACGUAUUUUAUAUAACUGGUGGUAUGCACAAUCACAUAAUCAUAAAAAUGAUAAUCCCGCAUUUUUUGUUGCGCGCAAGACAAGGCAUGAAAUGGAUCAGAGGUAACUUCCCUAUAAACUGCGCCACAACAAGCACUUAUUUACUGUAAUGCUUUUAUGGCCUUUCUCCGAAGCUGAAAUUCUUUUGUCUCCACAUUCUUAAUCAUAAAGGUGUAGGUACUAUUUUAUUGAUCGUAGCUGCCGGGUCACGAGACUGUGCUCGAAAGCUGCCAUAUAGAACAGAAGCGGAGUGAUGUUUGGUCGUUUGUGAAAGAGGCAGCAUUUUCAUGUCCGGCCUCCAGGUGUUCGAAGCCCCCUCCUUGAUAGCACAGACCACCCGAGCCAUUUUUACCGACGUUCCGUGGGACCGUCUGAGCCAAAGCUACUUGGUUGUGGAAUGACGUGGGUCACAGGAUGGGAAGAAAUAAGAGAAAAGAAACAAAACAAGCACGCAUGUGCGUGCGCGCACGCGCGCCCACACACACACACACACACACACACACACACACACACACAGAGAGAGAACAUAUGUAUAUAAGUAUCACAAGAAAUUGAAUAAAAGAAAUGUGACACUAUGAAGAUCUGCUGCCGUGCCUCAGGGGAGGGCACUGUUCAGGGCUCUCUCAAGUUCUCCUCUAACUUUUGUGUCCAGAGUAGUGCUGCUGCUCUAGACAAAACUAUUUCUCAAUCAUCAUCUUCAGUGGACGUGCGUUUCCUCAGUUUCAGAUGGAAAUCUCUUCUAGGAGCGGGGAGGUGGAAGGAGACGUAUGUGUGACACAACAGUUGUUUCGCUGUGGAGGAUGUGAUGUAAUUUAAAUAAUCGUCCUAGCAUUCGCUAACUGGGAUUUGUGGGAAACUUCUUACUACUGUGGCAUUUCACUCUGUGACAUUCUUGUGGAUCUGAACUGUCAAUUGUGAACAUCGUAACUGUUGUAACCGGAAAGACAGAAGGGCUCACUCUUGAAGCAAUUGCUCGUCUUAAAAGUGCUCUGUUCCUGUGUCUUCGUAAUUAAUUUGUAACUUGACUUUUGUAAACUUUUUGUUCCUUUUAAUGUCUAUCUGUUUUCUCUGUUUAUGUAUAUUUAUUGACAGCCAAAUAAAGAUGUACAAAAUGUUGUCUAAUCUCGGAAAA